rnacentral:rRNA from 1 species
UACGGGGGGGGGUAAGCGUUGUUCGGAAUUACUGGGCGUAAAGGGCUCGUAGGCGGCCAACUAAGUCAGACGUGAAAUCCCUCAGCUUAACUGGGGAACUGCGUCUGAUACUGGAUGGCUUGGAUUCGGGAGAGGAAUGCGGAAUUCCAGGUGUAGCGGUGAAAUGCGUAGAUAUCUGGAGGAACACCUGAGGCGAAGGCGGGCUACUGGGCUGAUACUGACGCUGAUGCGCGAAAGCCAGGGGAGCGAACGGG